UACGUAGGGGGCAAGCGUUGUCCGGAUUCAUUGGGCGUAAAGAGCGUGUAGGCGGUUUGGUAGGUCCGCUGUGAAAACUCGAGGCUCAACCUCGAGACGCCGGUGGAAACCAUCAGACUAGAGUCCGGAAGAGGAGAGUGGAAUUCCUGGUGUAGCGGUGAAAUGCGCAGAUAUCAGGAAGAACACCCGUGGCUAAGGCGGCUCUCUAGUACGGUACUGACGCUGAGACGCGAAAGCGUGGGGAGCGAACAGG
rnacentral:rRNA from 1 species